rnacentral:rRNA from 1 species
ACAUGCAAGUCGAACGGCAGCACGGACUUCGGUCUGGUGGCGAGUGGCGAACGGGUGAGUAAUGUAUCGGAACGUGCCUAGUAGCGGGGGAUAACUACGCGAAAGCGUAGCUAAUACCGCAUACGCCCUACGGGGGAAAGCAGGGGAUCGCAAGACCUUGCACUAUUAGAGCGGCCGAUAUCGGAUUAGCUAGUUGGUGGGGUAACGGCUCACCAAGGCGACGAUCCGUAGCUGGUUUGAGAGGACGACCAGCCACACUGGGACUGAGACACGGCCCAGACUCCUACGGGAGGCAGCAGUGGGGAAUUUUGGACAAUGGGGGAAACCCUGAUCCAGCCAUCCCGCGUGUGCGAUGAAGGCCUUCGGGUUGUAAAGCACUUUUGGCAGGAAAGAAACGUCAUGGGCUAAUA